UGGAGCAAUGAGGAGAGUGGGUUGAAUGUCCUGGAUCAUGGAGGUGAAUAGUAGAUUUGACAGACCACCCUGCAGCACUCAGUGGGAAAGCAUCAGCGAUCUAUGAAAAUAUUCCAAGAAAUCAAAAGGAGAAAGCUAUGAAACCAUUUGAUGAAAAUAUUUACAUGGGAUUGCAAGUGCAGGAUCAGUCAGUUUACAGUGAACUGAAGACGAAUGCAAAGUGAAGACAUUACAAUUCAUCUACCAUAUAAAGUUUAAAAAAAAAUCAAAUGAAAUACGAACAGGUGUAUUUAUCAUCAGGAUUUGUUAUAACAUGGCAGCACAAUGGCCACCUAUGAUGUUUAGUGUUUUCGUAAAAUGUUCUGUCAACCUUAUUGUUUAAGACUGGGCAUUCAGGAUCUUGACUGAGUUACCUACAUACUUGAUCUGUACCCUGACAUGCAUCUCAUGGGUUUGUGGGAAAGGGGAUAAAUUUACAUUGAAUAUAUCUACCAUGGUCCAUGAAGGAAUCAUUCUUGCAGCCAAGCAAAAUAAUUUUCUGAGCACUCUUUACAUUUUGUUUUCCUGCAUAGCCAUUGGUCUUAUACAAUAUCCAACAACCAAAAAUCCAUUCUCAACAUGCAGGAAAUUUUCAUGGUUCAUUCAUGUGUUCUGGGAGGCAUUCAUUGUCUGUCUGUAAAUACCCUCAAGAAGUUGGUCACUUCUUGAACAGUUACAGCCCAAUUGGUGUAGGUAAAAUGAAUGCUUAGGGGGAAGGUUCCAGCAUUUUGUUCCAGUGACAGCGAUGGAGCAGAGAUAUAAUUUCAAGUCAGGAUAGUGAGUGAUUUGGAACUGGCAGCUGAAGUGGUAUUCAGUUGUAUCUGCUGCCCAUCUGCUUCUAGAUGACCAUAGCCAUGGAAUUGCAAUCUGUUGCGUACGGAGCCUUGGUAAAUUUCUACAGUGCAUCGUGUGGAUGCUUCACAUUGCUGCUAUUGAACAUCGGUGGUGGAAGGAGUGAAUGUUGUGACUGUGUUGCCCAACAACCAGGCUGUUUUGUCCUGGAUGGUGUAAGCAUCUAUUGUGUUUUUAGAGCUACACUGAUGCAGACAAGUGUGGAGUAUUUUAUCCCGGUCCUAACUUGUAUCUUGUGAAUGGCGGACAUGCUUUGCUGACUGACAAGGUGAAAUAACCACACAGGACUCCUAUCGUCUUUCCUGUUCUUGAAGCCCUGCAUUUAUUUGAAAGACUAAGGCAGUUAUGGAUCAUUGGUAACUGCCGGGGUGCUGAUAGUCACUGAUUCAGUGAUGGUAAUUCCAUUGAACUUCAAUGAAUAGUGAUUAGAUACUCUCUUGCUGGCGAUGGUCAUUACCUGGUAUUUUCAUGGUGAGAUGUAACUUACAACUUGUUAGCUGAUUCUGAAUAUUAUCCAGGUCUUUUUGUAUUUUUACUUGAGCUGCUGUAGCAUCAUCUGUGGCGUCACGAAUGGUUCUGCAAAAUCUAGCGUCAUCCAUGAACCUCCCUGCUUGUCACCUUAUGAUGGAGGGAAAGUAAUUGUUAAAGCUGUUGAAAAUGGUUGGGCUUAGGACAGUGCAUAGAGGAACGUCUGAAGAAAUAUCUUGGAACUCCAACCAAAGAAUAACUAUUCCUGAUUACUAUUAACGCUAAUUUUGCUAGGAUACCUUGAUCCCAAUUUUGGUGAGAUGCAGUUUCAGAUCAGAAAUGUGCUGUGUUUUGAUUUCACAAAUUCAAUACAUUGCAGUAUAAAUGUUCUUAGCAGCAGGAUCACGGAAUGUAACACUUGGACCUAAAAGAAUCGAGGGAAAUUGGGGAAAUGUAGAAAUAGUCUAUUUAGCUGAAUGAUCAGACAUGAUCAUAAUCAAUGAUAAAAGCAGGCUUGAAAGGCCAAAUGGCCUACUGUUGCUCCCAUUUUCUAUAUUUCUACAUUGUUGUUGGAAUGUUUGAUCCUAUGACCAUUAUAUUAGUUGUUGACCUGUAAGUCAUUGUGGGUUUGUCAUUCAGUGCAGCAAAAGGAUAAUGAAUUCAUGAAAUGGUACAAAUCACUGAUCACACGUUGUUGUCAAAUCCAUUCACUAACACUCACCAAGGGAAAAUAAUCCUCUAUGAGAUUGUCUCCCAAAUUUUGAUGAGUGAUUCUUUGUAUUCAUUACUUCAAUCUGCAUCUUAUUCAGUUUACCAAUACUUUCUGUUCCUCUCUGAGAUCAAUAACCACACCUGUCCAUCUGAACACCUACACUGAGUUCUCCACUUCACUCUCAAGCGAGGCUUUUGAAUUCAUAUACCUAAUACAUUGCUUAUUCCAUAUGGUUCCCCUUGGGAAUUGACAAAUUUCCGUUCAUCAGCAAAUCAGACAUGCAUAUUUCUACACUCAGCCAGUUGAUCUAUAUAAAUCAUGGUGCCUCAAAUAAAACAACACAUCAUGCGUCAAAGAUUAUAAUUCCCCUUGGUUCAUUCCAGGGAUGAUGAUAAGUCUACAUUUUUGUUACCUCUCUCAUAGAUUCCAUUUGUUCUCCAACACUAUAUUUAAACACAUUUGUUUCAUUCUCACAGCAGUAGCACUGUCAUAAUUAUUUACAAAUGUUAAUUAUUACUUUAAUCACUGAGCAUUUCUUCUCCCAACUUUCCUGAAACAUAUAACAUGUUAGAAUCCAACCUCCCCCUUUCUCCACUUUGUGUAAUUGUUCUUGUAUACUUUCACCCUUUUUUCUUUAUAUCCACGUACAACUGAAUGUUUUUUCUUCCCUUCACCAAAUCACGUAUGGUAACUUCUCACCGAUUAACCACCACCAGUAAAUCACCUGUGUUUUAUGUUUAAUUAAUUUAAAUGCAAAAUGUGUGAAGGACAAUAUGGACAAUCCAAUGUGAUACAGUUGGAAGGGAAUGAUAAAGAACAAUACCCUCAUAUCUUUAUUUUUAACUCUGACUUUGCAACCAUAUCACCUGCCACGAUUACUUACCUUAAUAACACAUGCAAUUACAUACCGAGGCAACCAGCAUCUAUCUGUGGUUUCUUACUAUGACUCACCCCCAUGGUGGCCAUUGUCAUUUCGUCUAAUUACAUGUAGUGAUGUAACAAACUCACAUCUUUCAUCAUUUAGAAGGAUAGGUAUCUCAGAUAUUCCGAAUCAUCGACAUCACACACUGCAUUGAUCUGUAUACAUAUUGCAAAACCUCCACGGAAACACCUGACAUUCCCUGCCAAGUACAGUUGUAGUACGCUAUCACCACGACAAUUUCGACACUCAGCUGAAGCAUUAACAAUGCCCUCUUCAGGAAGAAAACGGACGAGCAAUAAACUCUGGCCUUCUCAGUGAUUUUGCAAAUGAAUUAAAUAUCUUCUUAUUCUGGAUUCUACAACAAGGAGAAAUGAUUUUUUUGUUCUCUGUAUAAUUGACUGAGAUUCUUUGAAGAUACUAAACAUCUCCAUCACAUCAUCAGAUAGAUUUAUGCAAUAAUGUAAUGGAAGACAAUCUUCUCCUCAUGAGUAAAUUCUUUAAUCAGUGGUAUCAAGUGAAUAAGUGUGCUGUGCACAUACUUCCCCUAUUUAGAAUUCAUCUUUCUGGAUUGAGCACCAAAACUGUUUUGGGCAUUUUGUUGUUUGUAUGUAUGCUUAAUGUAUUAGACUGCCUAAUAUAUUCAUUGUCCUGCAUUUGCCCAAUUUAGUCCGUAUAUAUCUGAACUACAACUAUAUGCAAAAUGACACUGUUUCGUACUUUAUGGCUGUAAUGGCUCAAAACUUUGUAUAUGCACGUGCCAGCAUACUGUAAUUUUCCUGUGUCAAUUUACUGAUCUUCGGGGUGGCUCACUGUUAAAAUCCCGAUGCGAAGAAACAAUCGUAAUAUAAUUGAGAUUAUGUGAGACUCCUGUGUUAUAUUUGCUGUAAGUUAAAACAACGUGCUAGUAAAAGAUAUGCUUUGCUGAACAAAAAUACUUAGAAAAGGAUUUAUGUGGACACGGUUGUUAAUAACUGCAUCUUUAUUAGUAAAAUGAUGCAUUUGUGGACUGUUGAAUUUCUCUAUUAAAGAAGAAACAUGGA